AUAGAAUGUUGAAUAGCAAUGAUGAAAGAGGAUCUCAUGUAUCCGAGUGGAAACACUUACAUUAAUUGUAAUACAACAUCAGUUGAAAUUGGGACACAGACACAAAGAGAAAACAAUGUCAUGUGAAGACAGAGGCAAAGAGUGGAGUGACAGAUGUACAAGCGAAGAACCUCAAGAGCGCCGGCAGUUACCAGAAGCUUAGAGUUAGGGAAGGAUCAUCAUCUGAAG
rnacentral:lncRNA from 10 species